GCCGGCAGCUAGCUCUCUGCAACUCUCACAUGGUCACCCACUGAAGCAGGGCUGCGCCUGGUCAGUACCUGGAUGGGAGACCACAUGGGAAAGCUAGGUUGCAGCCGGAA
rfam:Danio rerio chromosome 13 genomic contig CTG1270, GRCz11 reference primary assembly.